GAAACAAAUUUGAAAUUUUUAUACCUUAGUGGAAACGCUCUAAAUGAUGCUAGUGGAAAAAUAGUCUUUUCAUACAUGGCUUUAGUUUUUUAUAGUACAUUAAGCAUUUUGAACAACUUUUGGUUUUUAUCUCCACUAUCAGAUAUUGGUAUAGAAAAUUUAAUCGUUGGUUUAACCCUAUUGACAUUUUCCUUCACAAUUAUCACUUCUUUCGACAAAGUUGUUAAUAAAUCGAAGCAAACAUUUAAAAUAUUAGUGUUGAUGGAAACUUUAAACGUUAAACUACACAAUAAAGGCAUGGCAAAUCUAUCCAAACAACUUGAACCGAAAUUUACAACUGCCGGUUUUUUUCUUAUAAACCGACGACUCGUUCCUGCAUUUAUCUACACACUUUCUACUUAUAUUAUUGUAAUCAUGCAAUUCAAAACUUGUUAGAAGUACAUUAUACUUUGUUAUUUAAAUAAAUUCGCACUUAAACAA